CUCAAGAUUCCCUGACACCUCCAUCCUUUCCAGAAACGGCUUUGGGAUCCACAGAGGAGGGAAGUCUUUGUAUUCCUAAGAAUAUUGAUAGUAUACAUUGAAAAAUUGACUUACGCAGACUUUGUGACAAUGGAGGAAUAAUGACAAACAAGGUAUACAUUUGAAGGGAGACACAAACACUUCUUUUGAAAGAUGAGGAAAGUCAGAGUAAAGAAGAUUAAGUAUGCAUCUGAAAGGAAAUUCAUUAUUCCCAUGGUUUAUAAAUUCUAGAAGAAGAGAUAUAAAACUCUUUUGAUGAUGGCCAGGCUGAUUUUUCUCAUCACUCUUGCCUCAGCGUAUGGUCCAAUCUGCACAUGGAUAGCUAUAUAUUUGUUAGGCUAUAAUUACACUGUAAGGGACACAAGGGAGGUUACGAUAGUUUAACUGCUCUCCCUACACUGACUCUGACCACCUUCUCUGCCUUCUCUACGCUGUAACCAGAGCAAUCUUUUUAAGGUAAAUAAUCUAAUCACCCCUCAUUAGUGGUUUCCCCUUGCACUCAGAAUAAAACCAACAUUUUUUAGCUUGGCUUAUAGGGCCCUGGGUGAUUCACUGCCUGCCUGUCUCUCCAGGUUUAUUUUGGACCGUUUUUCAUUUCUUUCUUUUGCUUCAGGCACAAUGUUCUUCUCUCAGUUUCUACAGAAUUUCACCCUCCUUCCUGCUACAAGCCUUUGCCCAGGCCGUGUUUUCUGAUUGGAAUAUCCUCCCCACUUCCCACCUUCCGUAUGCUGCUGUUGGAGGAAAUAAUGGAGAGGACAUGAUGGCUGGUUGACCCUGGAGCUGGACCCAGGCAAUCGGAGGCUCCUCCCUCCCCUGUCCUUGGGAUGCAUGAUCCGCCCACCAUUCAAACACGAGGCGCUGCUUCAGGAACGCAGCCUUGAGAGAGUAAGGUGUUGUUGGGAUCAUCUGGACUGAAUACAUGACUGAACCCACUUAAGCCUCCAUAAAAGCUCUUGAGAUGCUGGCGGUCAGGUGCAGAGACCUAUUUCUCUCGUGGCCGCCCAAGACAAGCCUCGUAAUCUGGGCCUUUAUUUCAUAUACAGAUAUAACAGUGGACACAUCAGAAGAGGCAUAGGAGAAUUUGCUUCUGAAUAUUACAGUUGACUUUGCCUGCCUUGUAAAGCUGUUUUGCAGCCAGGAUAGAUCAUUUCCACUCUUCUUCAUUUCAAAUCCAUUUGUCAAACUCCAGCUGGACUCCUGGAAGCCCAGUUCUGUUCCAGCUCUUGAACCUGUCCCAGUGGGGACAUGGGAAGGAGAAGCCCCAG
rnacentral:lncRNA from 1 species